rnacentral:rRNA from 1 species
UAACGCGUGGGAAUCUGCCUUGGAGUGGGGGAUAACCGAUGGAAACGUCGGCUAAUACCGCAUACGUCCUGAGGGAGAAAGAUUUAUCGCUCUGAGAGGGGCCCGCGUCGGAUUAGCUAGUUGGUGGGGUAACGGCCUACCAAGGCGAUGAUCCGUAGCUGGUCUGAGAGGAUGAUCAGCCACACUGGGACUGAGACACGGCCCAGACUCCUACGGGAGGCAGCAGUGGGGAAUAUUGGACAAUGGGCGCAAGCCUGAUCCAGCAAUGCCGCGUGAGUGAUGAAGGCCUUAGGGUUGU